rnacentral:lncRNA from 1 species
UGAAAAAUUCCAGAAAUUGGGGCUGGGAUUGUGGCUCAGCUGUAGAGCGCUCGCCUAGCACGGGCGGACCUGGGUUCGAUUCUCGGCAACACAUAAAAAAAAAAGGCAUUGUGUUGUGUCCAUCUACAAAAAGGAUUCAUUCUCUCUCUCUCUCUCUCUCUCUCUCUCUCUCUCUCUCUCUCUCUCUCUCUCUCUCUGUCUCUUAAAAAAAAAAAGAGGGGGUUCGCCUCCCUGGGCGGAGGCGCGGUCCCGCGUUCCGCCCGCGUCGGGCUUCCUGAGCGGUGGCGCGAGGCAGUGACGGUCGCUGAGCUCGCGGCAGGAUGGAGGCGCGCGCGGCGAACGGCGGCCGGGGACGGCGCGGGCCCGGGGCCCCGCAGGCCGGGACCGACGGGCUGCCGAAGCACUCGUACUGGCUGGACCUGUGGCUCUUCCUCUUCGUGUACCUCUUGCCCUGAUGGGUUUGCUGACAUCCCAAGAUCACUGGAUUGUGGAGUGAAUUCUGAAAAUGAACUACAGUCUUCUUGAACAAAGAAGAUGGGAUUGCGCUACUGCAGAAUUCCAAGUCUCCAAGGGAUCUUCCUUUCUUUUUACAUAUUCUUCUAACUCAUUUGGGGAACUACUAAAUGAAUAGUGAUCUCAUUCAUAGCCAAGUUCCUAAACCUAAAUGCAGUGUUUCACAUUUAAACUCUUUUCAAACACCUGAUGUCUUUAUACGGGCUAGUGUAGAAGUAAAAUUUGUACUUCAAAGCUUAGCAUAUUCACCAAGAAGACAGCAAUGUCUUUACUGUUGUAAGGGUUGGUCUGGGUUUAAUUCAGUCACAUAAGGGGGUGUGUAACUAGGUGAGGUGAGGUAGUUGUAACCCAAAGUUAUUCAGGAGAGAGAAAAGGAUUGGUGUUCUGAGAUUGUGUAGAGGCUGUCACUAACACAAUAGAGUCCACAUAUUGGCUCUACACAUGCUUAGUUUUUAAAUGGUCUUUUCAUGACCUUUGAAAUGCCUGUGGGUGAGGAUCACAAAGGAGAUGGCAUUAGAUAGUGGAAAGCCCGCCUGUACCCUGAAAUAGGAAUGUUUCAAGCCUGUUUUUUGUUUGUUUGUUUGUUUUUGUUUUUUAAUUAUUGUAUUAGGUAUGCUUGUGUCCAAAACAUUUGCUUUCAUAAUGCUUGUAACUUACUUGAAUACCUCCGCUGACAGUGUGAUAUUUACUCAUCCUGCAGAGCCCUCCUCUUUGGCCGCAGCAUUUUAAACAUAGCUGUAGGCCAGGCAAAAAUUCUUUCCUUUGUAGAGAUUGUUCGGUCUUUGCUGUUCUUUUUAAAAAUCUAAUCGGUAUUAAACUCAAAUCUAAUUGUUAUUUACUGAUCUGGGGUGCUCAGCGGGCAUUUCAUCAGAAAGAUCACGGGAUUUGGCAGAUGUGAACUGUGUGAAGUAGUCCCCUCCCUGUGAUCAAGGCGUAAGAUCCAGGGAACUCUGCAUCCUCUGCCUUUCAGAAGGGUGCUGAGGGUUAGGGUCAGGCCUGGAGUUGCCCUUGGAUGAUCAGUUGGCCUGGUGACUCUUAGUUAUGCCUUCAGGGUAUUGUUGCUCUGCACAAAGAGAGCAUUCUGUGGAAGGUGAGGUUGAAGCAUCAGGAGGAACAAAAAAGGAGAUUGUACUGAGUGUAAUAAAUGAUUAUGACCUGCUUUUCUGCUGCUAACAAUUUUAUCUAAUAAACAUUUACUUACAUAAAAAAAAAGAAAAGAAAGAAAGAAAGAAAAAUUCCAGAAAUAAAUAAUUCAUAAGUUUUUUGUUUUGCAGUGCUGGGAAAUGGAACCCAGAGCCAUGCACAAGCAAGGCAAGAACUCUACCAUUGGAGCUACAUCCCCAUCC